GCCUGGGUGGCUCAGUCAGUUAAGCGCCUGACUUUGGCUCAGGUCAUGAUCUCAUGGUUCAUGGGUUCAAGCCCCGCCUCAGGCU
rnacentral:tRNA from 1 species